GCCGCUCCAGCAGCAUAUGGAGGUUCCCAGGCUUUUUUUUUGUUCCCAGGCUAGGGGUCGAAUCAGAGCAAAUUAAAAAAAUUAAAAACAAAGUGAAACAAAACCUGCAUCUCAGUAGCAACCCAGGCUGCUACAGAGACAUUGCGGGCUCCUUAACCCAUUCCACUACAGUAGGAAUUCCAGGAGAAGUUAAUUAUUUAAUAUAACAGUUUAUUGCUUACAUUCCUGGCAUAGUGAUACUUUUUUUAAAUAUAACUUAGUAUUUUGGCAUUUUCAAUCUGUAAAUAUUCAGUAUAGGUUACUGUUAUACACAGUACAUAGGCUUUAUAUGUGUCUUUUAUUCAAUUCUUUAUUCCUAUCUCCUAGCAAAGUUCUUGACACAGAGUUGGAGGUAAACACAGUUGGUGAAUAAACAUGCGGUUAAGAGUUGAGACUCUGGAGAAAGACAAAACCAGAUUCAAAUUCAGUCUCUCACUUAUUAGCUGGCUGGGUUACCUUGAAAAGUUCUUUAUUCUCUCAAGAGUUAAUUUGAUUGUCUAUAAAAUGAGGAUAAAAAGAUCAGCUGGACAUAGUUCCUUAAAAUGUAGUUAAUAUUGAUCCACUCCUCUGUCGAUGGACAUUUAGGUUGUUUCCAUGUCUUGGCUAUUGAAAAUAGUGCUGCAAUGAACACUGGAGUACAUGUGUCUUUUCGAGUCAUGGUUUUUUCCUGGCUAGAUACCCAGGAGUGGGAUUGCUGGAUCAAAUUGUAGCUGUAUUUUUAGUUUUCUGAGGAAUCUCCAUACUGUUUUCCACAGUGGUUGCACCAAUUUGCAAUCCCAUCAACAGUGUAAUAGGGCUGCUUUUUCUCCACACCCUCUCUAGCACUUAUUGUUUGUAGUCUUUUUGAUGGUGGCCACUCUGUCUGGUUUAAGGAGGUACCUCAGAGUGGUUUUGAUUUGCGUUUCUCUAAUAAUGAGUGAUGCUGAACAUCUUUUCAUGUGUUUUUUGGCCAUCUGUAUAUCUUCUUUGGAGAAUUGUCUAUUUUGAUCUUCUGCCCAUUUUUUGAUGGAGUUGUUUGGUUUUUUUUGGUAUUGAGCUGCAGAAAGUGUUUAUAAAUUUUGGAGAUUAAUCCCUUUUCAGUUGAUUCAUUUGCAAAGAUUUUCUCCCAUUCUGUGGGUUGUCUUUCUGUGUUGUUUAGGGUUUCCUUUGCUGUGCAGAACCUUUUAAGUUUAAUUAGGUCCCAUUUGUUUACUUUUGUUUUUACUUCAUUACUCAACAACUGAGAAGUUUUUUUUUAAAGCUUAAAUUUUUUUUAACGCUUAAAUUUUUUUUUUAAUGCUUAAAUUAAUGCUUAAUUUUUUUUUCUCGAUAGUCCCUCACUUCUGCAGAAGGGUGCAGGUACUCCAAAAAGCACAUGCUCCGAGCAAAGGACCCUCCCCUAUUUAUCUCUAAUGCAGGUGAUCUACCUGUCCCCUUCCCAUUGGUCAAGAAGAUGUGGUACAUAUACACAAUGGAAUACUACUCAGCCAUUAAAAGGAACAAAAUACCAGCAUUUUUAGCAACAUGGAUGGACCUAGAAAUUAUCAUGCUAAGUGAAGUCAGUCAGACAAUGAGACACCAACAUCAAAUGCUUUCACUGACAUGUGGAAUAUGAAAAAAAAGGACAAAAUGAACUUAUUUGCAGAAUAUAUACUAACUCACAGACCUUGAAAAACUUAUGGUUUCCAAAGGAGACAGUUUGAGGGGUGGAGGGAUGUGCUGGGGUUGUGGGAUGGAAAUCCUAUAAAACUGGUUUGUGAUAAUCAUUGUACAACCAUAAAUGUAAUAAAUUCAUUGAGUAAUGAAAAAUAAAUAAAUAAAAUUUAAUUCUGUAGCUCUGCUUCCCUGAAAAAGCUGUUAAGAGUUAGAAAGUCAACAUGUUUCUGGGCAACAUAGCUAAUGUUAAAAAAUAACCCUGAGUGUCAAACUACACCUGGACUGGGAAGAACUAUAAACAAACUAUAAAUACACAAUAAGUACACUGUGUUCUGGGAUCCUCUGAGUGUUAUGUAACUCAUGAACUGGAUUAGUAUGUCCCUUUUGCUGACUCUAGAAGCUAUUGUGUUAAGACAGAUAUUGGCUCUUCCAGGAUGUGAAGCUUCUAAACCAGAGCACCUCCAUACCCAGCAAUCUUGUUUCCUUGGACCUGAAGUUGUCAUGUGGAAAGAAGACAGCUUCUGGAUGGCUGUUGACCUGAUGCUGGACUGCCAUAGGAGGAAUACUUGACAUGUCCAGCCAGCAAGCUACAACUCCUCUCCUCUCAUCUUCCUGGUAGACUCCCUGUGGGGCCUCUUGCAGUCUCCAGGGUCUUAAGUGGUUUAAGCCUGAGAAGAUGCCUGGGUGUUCUAGAUCUGUCCAGUAGAAGGGACACCCUUUGUAAACUGCCUAACAAUCUUGGAAUCUUAGGACUAGAUGCAAUCUUACAGGCCAUCCCCAAUUUACUCAAUUUUGAAAACACUUCUGCAAUAUUUUCAACAACUGGCCAGCUGACCUCUUCAACACUUUCAACCCUCUUAGGAAUCCAUUCCAUUACCAGGCAGUACUCAUAAUAAAAGGCUUUGAUAUGGACAGAUAUCUGCCCACCUGAAGUAUCUAACCAUUGGUUUUAUCUAUUUCCUGUCAUGAGAGCUACACAUAAGGUUAGAUUCUUUCCUAUGACUCGUAUUCACAUAUUUUAGACAUCAGUUUUAUCCUCUAAUAAUCUCUUCUCUUCUUCAGUAGAAAUAUACUGUUUCGUCAACUGUUCCCCACUGUCUUUGCCAUCUUUCUGCUCUUCUUCCUAUACUAAGUCAACACAUUAAUCUUCCUGUGGAGUUUCUAGAGCAGGUGAUACUAUCUCUAAUUCAAAGAUAUACUUAUUUUUUUCACAGCCACAGCUGUGCCAUAUGGAAGUUCCUAGGCUAGGAACUGAAUUGGAGCUAUAGCUGAGGCCUUUGCCACAGCCCUGGCAACACAGGAUCUGAGCCACAUCUGUGAGCUAUGCCACAGCUUGUGGCAAUGCCAGAUCUUAACCCACUGAGCAAGGCCAGAGAUCUAACCCACAUCCUCAGCGAGAUAAUGUUGGGUUCUUAACCCACCGAGCCACAAUGGGAACCCCCUAGCAUUUUUAGUACUUACCAUUUUCAUUUCAUGAAACUGAAUUAAGCACUGCCAGUUCCUUUAAGCACAAAGGAAAUUUAUACCCAAUUUCUCUCCAUAACUCACAUUCUAAUUUAUCUUUUUCACUAAUUUAAUCUAAUUUAUCUUUUUUCCAUAAUGUUGAUCACAAUGACUUUCAUAUACUAAGUGAUUAAGAAUUGUAUGUUAUGGGAAAUGUAAAGAAUCCCCACAUCAACUUUUGAGUAUAGGAUACAAUGGAGAGAGACAGUAUAAGAAAAAUAAAACAAGAUACAGAGAAAGAGGGAGAGAGGGAAGAAGAGGGAGAGACAGAGGGAAUGGAGGGAGAGAGACAGAGGAAGGAAAGGGGUAGGAGGAGAAUUUUCUAGACUCCUUUCUCUAAACAAUGUUUUUUCUACACAAUAUGACAAUUUUUCACAUUGUCCUUCCCUAAUUUUAAGAUGUACAUUUCAUGGCAGGAACAUCUUUUCUCCAAAUGCCCCUUUCGUUUCUUCAGUUUCUUUAAAAUGGAAUGGUAAAAUCAUUGAAUCCCAUUGUGUAACCGAACUAGUAAAAACAUGUUACAGACUCCUGGUUUGAUUUUAUUUUAUGGCUAUUGUCUAGUCUGAUAAAAAAUGUAUCAGUUGCUUAGAUGUUUGAGCUCUGUCUUUAGCUCAGAUGCUGGUACAUCAGCAUUCAUCUUCUUGACAAGAUCUUGUGGAUAUUAAAGUAUAAAAAUAUGACUGGACAGAAUAAGACUCAAGGAUUCCCUGGAGGCCUCUGGUUUCUAUAUAGCCCAAAUUUUAAAGGUAUUUACAAGGUUGGCCAUGUCUAUAAGCCAACCAGGAUUUCAAAGUACAUAUUUCAUGUCUAGUUCCCUCCUUUCCCAUCCCAUUUAGAGGAAGAUUAUGAGAACAAAUCUCACAAUCUAUAUAAAAGCUCUCCAGGCCUGUAGAGCUCUAAUGAACCCUUGAAGUAAUUAAUACUUUGUUCCCUUAUUUGUAACAGCUUGCAAGUCAUAUUGGGAAUGCAAAUGUUAGUUUGCGUGCUCUACAAGGUAUGUGUAAUGUGUUGAGGACUGUUCUGUACCUAUUAACUUUUAAGUCCUUAGGGAAAUGCACAAAAGGAGAAAACAUGGCCCCUGCCUUAACGGAAGACAUGGUUUUGAGAG
rnacentral:lncRNA from 1 species